rnacentral:tRNA from 1 species
GGGGUUGUGGCUCAGUGGUGGAGUGCUUGCCUUGCAUGUGUGAGGCACUGGGUUCGAUUCUCAGCACCA